rnacentral:lncRNA from 1 species
GCAGCGACUGGGAGGAGGUGUCGGAGGAGGGGGAGGCGGACGAUGGCGAGGAGGCGCUGUCGGUGCCGGGGCUGCUGGGCCAGGACCUGCUGGACAUCACCGCCGCGCAGGCAGCCGCCGGCGACGACCUCGGAAACCUGCUGCGGGUGCGCACUGUGCCACGGGCCGUCCCUGCACGCUGGUGCCGUUUGAGCUGUGCAAGGUUGAUGCAGACAGCGAAUCAGCUUAGCUGCUGCCAGUCCCUGGCCUGCCUGCUCGCUUGCCAGGACAAUGUAGAUUUGUGGUGUUGACACGAUGAAACCUUGAAAGGCUCUGCCAUCAUGGAGAAUGCCCAGGCAUGCUCUGUUGAGAAAUGGUGAUUUUUGUUGUGAAGGCAUCCCACUUAGUCAGUCUGCUGUGCCUGACGGUGUCGUGCAAAGCCAUUCUCCUGCCCAUUGCCGUGGAAAACUCCCAGAUCUGUGAUGACUAGACAUUCAGAAGGGUGCUGAGCGUGAGAUGGGUCGAUGUGCAGACGGACCCGGAGCUGAGGAAUGACCCCAUGGCCAAGCUGGACCUGGCAGCGUUUGUGGGAGAGCAGCUGAGGGCCCUAGCGCAGAGGGACAGCGCCUUCUUCAAUGAGUGCUGCAGCCAAGUGGCUCCUGCGCAGCUGGCAGCCGUGAAGCAAUGUUUCCAGUAGAUUACUGUAGACGUACAGAGAAGGGAAUUUGGCAUCUGGCCCAAAACGAUGACCAAAUGUCUUGCUAACACAUGAAUUGCAAGGCAUGGGCUCUCUCCACACUGAUGUUGUCUGACUUGUCCUGCAAAUGAUCCAAUGAACAAUUUAUUGCAGUGACUGCAUCUGUCCGAACAAAUGUGGGAGUGUUUAAAGAAUAUAGGACAUGCUGCUGAGCUCCCCGUGAGGACCAUUUAUGCGUACUGUGCUCGAAUGACACCUUGGAGGCCCUGAAUGUGAAAUUACCAAUGGGGCUCAUCUGCCAGUUGCAAUGUGCAGA